ACUCAAAUGAAUUGACGGGGACCCGCACAAGCGGUGGAGCAUGUGGUUUAAUUCGACGACAAACGAAGAACCUUACCCGGGCUUGAAAGACAGCUGCAAGCUCCCAGAAACGGGAGCCGCCUUCGAGGGUGCUGUCUAGGUGCUGCAUGGUUGUCGUCAGCUCGUGGCGUGAGCUGUUCCCUUAAGUGGGGUAACGAGCGCAACCCUUAUCCUGUGUUAUUCAUGUCACAGGAGACUGCCUUCGCAAGAAGGAGGAAGGCGAGGAUGACGUCAAAUCAGCAUGGCCCUUACGUCCGGGGCUACACACGUGCUACAAUGGUCGGUACAAUGGGUUGCCAAACCGCAAGGUGGAGCCAAUCCCUGAAAGCCGACCCCAGUUCAGAUUGAAGGCUGCAAUUCGCCUUCAUGAAGCCGGAAUCGCUAGUAACGGCCGAUCAGCUAUGCGGCCGUGAAUACGUUCUCGGGUCUUGUACACACCGCCCGU
rnacentral:rRNA from 1 species